UACGGGAGGCAGCAGUGAGGAAUAUUGCGCAAUGGAGGAAACUCUGACGCAGCGACGCCGCGUGAAGGAAGAAGGUCUUCGGAUUGUAAACUUCUGUCUUCAGGGAAGAAACAAAUGACGGUACCUGGGGAGGAAGCCCCGGCUAACUACGUGCCAGCAGCCGCGGUAAU
rnacentral:rRNA from 1 species